AACGAACGCUGGCGGCAGGCCUAACACAUGCAAGUCGAACGCACCGCAAGGUGAGUGGCGCACGGGUGAGUAACACGUGGGAAUGUACCCUUUGGUUCGGAAUAACGUUUGGAAACGAACGCUAAUACCGGAUGAGCCCUGUGGGGGAAAGAUUUAUCGCCAAAGGAGCAGCCCGCGUCUGAUUAGCUAGUUGGUGGGGUAAAGGCCUACCAAGGCGACGAUCAGUAGCUGGUCUGAGAGGAUGAUCAGCCACACUGGGACUGAGACACGGCCCAGACUCCUACGGGAGGCAGCAGUGGGGAAUAUUGGACAAUGGGCGGAAGCCUGAUCCAGCCAUGCCGCGUGAGUGAUGAAGGCCUUCGGGUUGUAAAGCUCUUUCGCACGCGACGAUGAUGACGGUAGCGUGAGAAGAAGCCCCGGCUAACUUCGUGCCAGCAGCCGC
rnacentral:rRNA from 1 species